ACGAGAGUGUGCCGCUUCGAUUCUCGAUCUCGCGCCGCUCCGAUUGGCUGGCCGUCCGCAUCGAUUAUUAUCGAUCGACGCGCACGCGACAACGUCACGCGACAGCCGUCAAAAUGGUGCGAAACACGAUGGCGAGCACAGCCACCGCGAUUUUCCGCGAGUGUACGAGAAGAUUAUAUUAUCGAGAACGAAGAAUCCCGUGGAGAUGGAGCCGUGGACGGUGAACGAGGACGACACCGAGGACGACACCGAGGAAGGGCACACGAGGCAAAUCAAAUCUUUUCUCUCCUGUAAAUUCUCUUCGCCGAGGAACACGUGUUUAAAAAAAGAAGAAGAGGACUCACCUUAGUCGCGCAAUUUGUCUCCAGUCCCUGGAACCAGUCCGGGUGUUCCUCCCUGCUGCUGUACGCCGUUUUCGAGUCGUCCUUGUUCAAAGCGUUGUUUAGAACCGCAACCUUCGCUUUAAGGUUAUCUGCGAGGAAUUCGGACGCUUUCUCGCCGGCGAUCAGAAAAUCGAUAUUGACACGCCUCAACGUGUCGUAAAGGAGAUCCGCAU